rnacentral:rRNA from 1 species
GACGAACGCUGGCGGCGUGCUUAACACAUGCAAGUCGAGCGGUAAGGCCCUUUCGGGGGUACACGAGCGGCGAACGGGUGAGUAACACGUGGGUGACCUGCCCUCAGCUCUGGGAUAAGCCUGGGAAACCGGGUCUAAUACCGGAUAUGACCUCAUGACGCAUGUUGUGGGGUGGAAAGCCUUGUGCGGCUGAGGAUGGGCCCGCGGCCUAUCAGCUUGUUGGUGGGGUGAUGGCCUACCAAGGCGACGACGGGUAGCCGGCCUGAGAGGGCGACCGGCCACACCGGGGACUGAGACACGGCCCAGACUCCUACGGGAGGCAGCAGUGGGGAAUCUUGCGCAAUGGGCGAAAGCCUGACGCAGCGACGCCGCGUGAGGGAUGAC